rnacentral:rRNA from 1 species
AGUCGUAACAAGGUUUCCGUAGGUGAACCUGCGGAAGGAUCAUUACCGAGUAAGGGUCUUCCAGGCCUGACCUCCAACCCUUUGUUUACCAAACCAUGUUGCUUUGGCGGGCCCGUCCCUGGGGCCGCCGGGGGUGCCACGACCCCUGGUCCGUGCCCGCCAGUAGCCUUCUUAAAAGUCUUCUAGAAAAAUGUUUCGUCUGAGUCUUACAAAAAUCGUUAAAACUUUCAACAACGGAUCUCUUGGUUCUGGCAUCGAUGAAGAACGCAGCGAAAUGCGAUAAGUAAUGCGAAUUGCAGAAUUCAGUGAGUCAUCGAAUCUUUGAACGCAUAUUGCGCCCUUUGGUAUUCCGAAGGGCAUGCCUGUUCGAGCGUCAUUAUCAACCAUCAAGCCUGGCUUGUCGUUGGACUCUGGUCGUUAAAAAUAUGACCGGUCCGAAAGAUAAUGGACGGGACCUGUCGGCCCCAGAUGCAACGAGCUUCACAGCACGCAUCGAACGGCCGCCGGCCCCGCCCUCAAACCCCAUUUUCUCAGGUUGACCUCGGAUCAGGUAGGAAUACCCGCUGAACUUAAGCAUAUCAAUAAGCGGAGGAAAAGAAACCAACAGGGAUUACCCUAGUAACGGCGAGUGAAGCGGUAACAGCUCAAAUUUGAAAUCUGGCCUUUGCGGGCUCGAGUUGUAAUUUGUAGAGGAUGUUUCGGGCAAGGCUCUGGUUUAAGUUUCUUGGAACAGAACGUCAUAGAGGGUGAGAGUCCCGUCUAGAACCGACAGCCGCGUCCAUGUGAAACUCCUUCGACGAGUCGAGUUGUUUGGGAAUGCAGCUCAAAAUGGGUGGUAAAUUUCAUCUAAAGCUAAAUAUUGGCCAGAGACCGAUAGCGCACAAGUAGAGUGAUCGAAAGAUGAAAAGCACUUUGAAAAGAGAGUUAAACAGUAUGUGAAAUUGUUGAAAGGGAAGCGCUUGCAACCAGACUUGCGUGUGGCGGUUCUCCCGGUCUUCUGACCGGGCUACUCCGUCACAUUCGGGCCAGCAUCGGUUCGGGUGGUUGGUUAAAGGUCUUGGGAAUGUAUCUACCUUCGGGUCGACUUAUAGCCCGGGGCGUAAUGCGGCCUACCUGGACCGAGGAACGCGCUUUUGCUCGGAUGCUGGCGUAAUGGUUGUAAGCGGCC